GAGGACCGGAGUGGACGCAUCACUGGUGUUCGGGUUGUCAUGCCAAUGGCACUGCCCGGUAGCUAAAUGCGGAAGAGAUAAGUGCUGAAAGCAUCUAAGCACGAAACUUGCCCCGAGAUGAGUUCUCCCUGACUCCUUGAGGGUCCUGAAGGAACGUUGAAGACGACGACGUUGAUAGGCCGGGUGUGUAAGCGCAGCGAUGCGUUGAGCUAACCGGUACUAAUGAACCGUGAGGCUUAACCUUACAACGCCGAAG
rnacentral:rRNA from 1 species